GUUGGUGGCAAGCGUUGUCCGGAAUUAUUGGGCGUAAAGCGCGCGCAGGCGGUUCUUUAAGUCUGAUGUGAAAGCCCACGGGCUCAACCGUGGAGGGUCAUUGGAAACUGGAGAACUUGAGUACAGAAGAGGAAAGCGGAAUUCCACGUGUAGCGGUGAAAUGCGUAGAGAUGUGGAGGAACACCAGUGGCGAAGGCGGCUUUCUGGUCUGUAACUGACGCUGAGGCGCGAAAGCGUGGGGAGCAAACAGGAUUAGAUACCCUGGUAGUCCACGCCGUAAACGAUGAGUGCUAAGUGUUAGGGGGUUUCCGCCCCUUAGUGCUGCAGCUAACGCAUUAAGCACUCCGCCUGGGGAGUACGGCCGCAAGGCUG
rnacentral:rRNA from 1 species